rnacentral:rRNA from 1 species
AUGAACGCUGGCGGCGUGCCUAAUACAUGCAAGUCGAGCGAACAGACGAGGAUCUUGCUCCUCUGACGUUAGCGGCGGACGGGUGAGUAACACGUGGAUAACCUACCUAUAAGACUGGGAUAACUUCGGGAAACCGGAGCUAAUACCGGAUAAUAUAUUGAACCGCAUGGUUCAAUAGUGAAAGACGGUUUUGCUGUCACUUAUAGAUGGAUCCGCGCCGCAUUAGCUAGUUGGUAAGGUAACGGCUUACCAAGGCGACGAUGCGUAGCCGACCUGAGAGGGUGAUCGGCCACACUGGAACUGAGACACGGUCCAGACUCCUACGGGAGGCAGCAGUAGGGAAUCUUCCGCAAUGGGCGAAAGCCUGACGGAGCAACGCCGCGUGAGUGAUGAAGGUCUUCGGAUCGUAAAACUCUGUUAUUAGGGAAGAACAAAUGUGUAAGUAACUAUGCACGUCUUGACGGUACCUAAUCAGAAAGCCACGGCUAACUACGUG